AUUGAACGCUGGCGGCAGGCCUAACACAUGCAAGUCGAACGAGUGGCGGACGGGUGAGUAAUGUCUGGGAAACUGCCUGAUGGAGGGGGAUAACUACUGGAAACGGUAGCUAAUACCGCAUACCAUCAGAUGUGCCCAGAUGGGAUUAGCUUGUGGGUGGGGUAACGGCUCACCAAGGCGACGAUCCCUAGCUGGUCUGAGAGGAGGACCGGCAACACUGGACCUGGGACACGGUCCAGAUUCCUACGGAGGGCGGCGGUGGGGAAUAUUGGACAAUGGGCGAAAGCCUAAUGCAGCCAGGCCGGGUGUAUGAAGAGGGCCUUCGGGUUUUAAAGUACUUUCAGCGGGAAGGCGUUACCCGCAGAGGAAGCACCGGCUAACUCCGUGCCAGCAGCCGCGGUAAUAC
rnacentral:rRNA from 1 species